AAGGAUUUAAGUUAAAAAUUAAACUUUUAGCCUUCAAAGUUAAAAAUAGAAAAGAUUCUAAGCCUUA
rnacentral:tRNA from 1 species